rnacentral:rRNA from 1 species
CCUACGGGCGUCAGCAGUGGGGAAUAUUCCGCAAUGGGCGAAAGCCUGACGCAGCGACGCCGCGUGAGGGAUGAAGGUCUUCGGAUUGUAAACCUCUGUUAUCAGGGAAGAACGGUCACUGUGCUAAUUAGCAGCGAAUUGACGGUACCUUCAAAGGAAGCACCGGCUAACUCCGUGCCAGCAGCCGCGGUAAUACGUAGGGUGCGAGCGUUAUUCGGAAUUAUUGGGCGUAAAGCGUUCGUAGGCGGUAGGUAAGGUCAGGGGUAAAACCCCGGAGCUAAACUGGGGAACGCCUUUGAAACUGGCAAACUAGAGUGUGGGAGAGGAUAGUGGAAGUCCAGGUGUAGGGGUGAAAUGCGUAGAUAUAUGGAGGAACAUCAGUGGCGAAGGCGACUAUCUGGCACAUAACUGACGCUGAGGAGCGAAAGCGUGGGUAGCAAACAGGAUUAGAUACCCUAGUAGUC